rnacentral:rRNA from 1 species
AUUGAACGCUGGCGGCAUGCCUUACACAUGCAAGUCGAACGGUAACGCGGGGCAACCUGGCGACGAGUGGCGAACGGGUGAGUAAUGCAUCGGAACGUGCCCAGUAGUGGGGGAUAACUGCUCGAAAGGGCAGCUAAUACCGCAUACGACCUGAGGGUGAAAGCGGGGGAUCGCAAGACCUCGCGCUAUUGGAGCGGCCGAUGUCAGAUUAGGUAGUUGGUGGGGUAAAGGCCCACCAAGCCAACGAUCUGUAGCUGGUAUGAGAGGACGACCAGCCACACGGGGACUGAGACACGGCCCAGAAUCCUACGGGAGGCAGCAGUGGGGAAUUUUGGACAAUGGACGCAAGUCUGAUCCAGCCAUGCCGCGGGCGGGAAGAAGGCCUUCGGGUUGUAAACCGCUUUUGUCAGGGAAGAAACGCUCUGGGUUAAUACCUCGGGGUAAUGACGGUACCUGAAGAAUAAGCACCGGCUAACUACGUGCCAGCAGCCGCAGUAAAAC